CUUUAUUACAUUGAUGAUGUCGGUACAGUACAGCACAGCUGAUGAAGAAUGUACUGCAACAAUUUUAGCAGGUCACUAUCAAAAUGUGAUUUCUGUACUACUGAAUGAAACGAUCGAAACAGCACACAUCUUUAUACAAUUGAAAAAUAAUGCAUCAUUACACCGGAAUAAGACAGGGAAUGUGAGAGCGAAAAACAAUACACGGACUAGGAAUGUAAUAUCACCCCGUGACCUCCGAUAUCUGGUAUGUGAAAUUUUAUGGAAAACAAAAGCAUUAAAUAUUACCUGUG